rnacentral:tRNA from 1 species
GGAGAGUUGGCAGAGUGGUCGAAUGCGGCGGUCUUGAAAACCGUUGACCUUAACGGGUCCGGGGGUUCGAAUCCCUCACUCUCCG